rnacentral:rRNA from 1 species
ACCGAAAGGUUGGUAGAGGAGCAUUGCAUGCGGAACGAAGCAGUACCGUAAGGAGCUGUGGACUGCAUGGAAGAGAGAAUGCCGGAAUGAGUAGCGAGAAUAAGGUGAGAAUCCUUAUGGCCGAAUAUCCAAGGUUUCCAGAGUAAAGCUGAUCUGCUCUGGGUAAGUCGGGGCCUAAGGCGAGGACGAGAGUCGUAGCCGAUGGACAACAGGUGGAGAUUCCUGUACUGCGGUAUGACAGAACUGUGGGGACACGUAAGGAAAGCGGAAGCCGGGAAUGGAAAGCCCGGUGCAAGCGGGGUACCAGUCACUUUGGCAAAUCCGGGUGGCAAUGGGAAGCCGUGAUGCGGAGUGAAAUAAAGUAACGAAGUCCGUGAGCCAUGCGUCAAGAAAAGCCGCUAUCGUUUAUACCGUACCCGUACCGUAAACCGACACAGGUGGAUGAGGAGAGAAUCCUAAGGCCGGCGGAAGAAGCAUUGUCAAGGAACUCGGCAAAAUGGCCCCGUAACUUAGGGAUAAGGGGUGCCUGGGAAACCAGGCCGCAGAGAAUAGGCUCAAGCAACUGUUUAGCAAAAACACAGGUCUAUGCGAAACCGAAAGGUGAGGUAUAUGCUGACGCCUGCCCGGUGCUGGAAGGUUAAGAGGAGAGGUUAGCGCAAGCGAAGCUUUGAAUUUAAGCCCCAGUAAACGGCGGCCGUAACUAUAACGGUCCUAAGGUAGCGAAAUUCCUUGUCGGGUAAGUUCCGACCCGCACGAAAGGCGUAAUGAUUUGAGCGCUGUCUCGACAAUGCAUCCGGUGAAAUUGAAGUACCAGUGAAGAUGCUGGUUACCUGCGCCAGGACGGAAAGACCCCAUGGAGCUUUACUCCAGUCUGGUACUGGGACUCGGUAUUGCAUGUACAGGAUAGGUGGGAG